UACGUAGGGGGCAAGCGUUGUCCGGAAUCAUUGGGCGUAAAGCGCAGGUAGGAGGUUUGGUAAGUCUAUUGUGAAAGCUCCCGGCUUAACUGGGAGAGGUCAAUGGAAACUACCAGGCUGGAGUGCGGUAGAGGUAGCUGGAAUUCCCGGUGUAGCGGUGAAAUGCGUAGAUAUCGGGAGGAAUACCUAUGGCGAAAGCAGGCUACUGGACCGUCACUGACUCUGAUCUGCGAAAGCUAGGGGAGCAAACAGG
rnacentral:rRNA from 1 species